rnacentral:rRNA from 1 species
UACGUAGGGUGCGAGCGUUGUCCGGAAUUAUUGGGCGUAAAGAGCUCGUAGGCGGUCUGUCGCGUCGGAUGUGAAAACUCGGGGCUCAACCCCGAGCCUGCAUUCGAUACGGGCAGACUAGAGUUCGGUAGGGGAGACUGGAAUUCCUGGUGUAGCGGUGAAAUGCGUAGAUAUCGGGAGGAACACCAGUGGCGAAGGCGACUACCUGGCCUGUUCUUGACGCUGAGGCGCGAAAGCUAGGGGAGCAAACGGGG